rnacentral:misc_RNA from 1 species
GAUGAAGAACUCAGCGAAAUGCGAUAAGUAAUGCGAAUUGCAGAAUUCCAGUGAGUCAUCGAAUCUUUGAACGCACAUUGCGCCCUUUGGCAUUCCGAAGGGCAUGCCUGUCCGAGCGUCAUUACAACCCUCAAGCUCAGCUUGGUGUUGGGCCCCGCCGCCCCGGCGGGCCCUAAAGUCAGUGGCGGUGCCGUCCGGCUCCGAGCGUAGUAAUUCUUCUCGCUCUGGAGGUCCGGUCGUGUGCUCGCCAGCAACCCCCAAUUUUUUUCAGGUUGACCUCGGAUCAGGUAGGGAUACCCGCUGAACUUAAGCAUAUCAAUAAGCGGAGGA